GUGUUUUUCUUUGAUCUGUUGUUGGUGGAUACUUCUGACUUCAUAUUUCACGUUUGGCAAUACGGCAGUGAAUCAUGCUCUAACUUUAUUUGUUAAUCAUGGAGAGUCUGCCAAAAUAAGAUGCAACUACCGCCGAACAGAUGACACAGAAAUCAUGACAGUGGCUUUAAAAGCGUUAAAUCAUACAUGCAUGUGUUCAUACAUACAUUUGAAUUCAUGGAAAAAACAAAGCUGCAAAGAUCACAUCAGAUUCAUAUGGAAUCCAGAGGCUGAGGAAAUAUCAUUUGAGCUAUUAAAUCUCCAUAUUAAGGAUACCGACAAAUACACCUGUAUUGUGAGGAGGAAUGCAAAACCACCUGAAGUGGAUCUGGGAGUAGAAAGAGUUCAAAUUAUUGUGUAUCCCGUCUUGUCUCUGUCCUGUGUGAAGAGGCCUGAUGGGUCUCCCAUGAUUCUGUGCUCUGUGGAUUUUUACCAUGAUUCUCUUGAACAGUUGUGGAUCAGAGACGGAGAUGUCCUCAAAAGCUCAUACUCAAAAAAAUCAUUCAAUGGAUACUUCAGUCAGCAAUCAUACCUUAUAAUACCACCACAAACCUUCAAUGAUACAAUCUACUCCUGCUGGGUAAAUCAUUCAUCCCUAAACAAACCACUGGUGGCCAGUUUAUCAAGCUUGGUCUGCUAUAAGAAAGGGGAUUUAACGGAGGCUCUGGCAAGGGCAUUUGUUAUCUCUGCGGUUUUGACAGUCUUUUUGAUCAUUUUUGUAGUCCUGUAGGCAAAUGUAACGUUAAGUCUCAGGUAUGAACUUUGUGUCUAUAUUAACUCUGUGUCUAUAUUUUUCUAUUUAAAAUGUCAUUCUGAUUGUGUAACUGAAUACUGGAAUGCUUAUUACCAGAAAUUGUAUUGGUAAACCUUAAUGACCUUGUCUACGAACAAAGAAUUGACAGUUGUCUAUGAACGUGAUUGUAUUCAAAUGUACAGAUGUUACAGAGCUCCAGACUGUGCCUAAAAUGGUCACAUUUGCCACCAAAAAAUAUUAAUUUGCUAGUGAAAUUUUUGCUGACAUCGCCACUUCCGGCUAUAUAAACUUACAUGUUGUGACUUUAAAUUUGCGUGUAAUUCUUUUUUUUCCUGCUGGUUUUGCCUGUUGCUAUGUUGACGUUAUAAAGUGACGAUAAAAAACAUUGGCUCCAGUUGGCAGCUUGAGAUAAUCGCAAUAAGCUUUGUGCUGUGUUACCUUUAAAUAAACAAAGUAUCAGCUUUAAAAUUCUGCCAAAUCACGAAUUUGCGAUGAAUGGACACCAAAGGUUAUAUUAUAAGAUACAGUACAAAUUACCUACAGUACAAAUUCCUGAAAUGUUUCAUGUAAUCGCUUAUUCAGUUGUCCAAACUGCC